AUGCUUACUUAAGCAGCACAUAUACUAAAAUUGGAAUAAUACAGGUAUGAUUAGCAUGGCUCUUACUCAACAAUGACAUGUAAAUUCAUGAAUUAUUCCAUAUUUUU